rnacentral:ncRNA from 1 species
AAAAGAACUCUAAAACAGAGGGUGAAAAGUUCCUGAACUUGCUUAGGGUUAAGGCUAUUUAUAGUACCCGUCUUGAAACACGGAUUAGGGAGUUUAUCUGUAGUGCGAGUCUUUGCACGUUAACUGUAAAGGCGUAGAGAAAGCAACUGGCGUUUGCAUGGCUACUGAGCAUUACUGAUAGGACCCGAAAGGUGGUGAACUUUGCCUGCACAGGUUGAAGUCAGGGGAAACUCUGAUGGAGGACCGUACGGGUUAUUGAUGUGCAAAUCAUUUUUCUGAUGUAGGUAAAGGUGCGAAAGACUCAUCGAACCACCUAAUAGCUGGUUUCCUCCGAAGUUUCCCUCAGGAUAGCUGUAAUGCAUUUAGUUAAGGGGAGUAGAGAUAUGGGUAGAGGUGCAGGGAGCCUUCGGGUUCUCAACUUAUUUCCAAACUUCGAACCUCCUUGUUAGGCAUUUACCUAACUGGAAAUGCUUAAAUGAAUUAGCGUUACAAGUGGGCUCUGACCGGUAAGCGGUCAUGGCGAAAUGGGAUGAACCAUACGUCUGAAUAAGGUGCCGAAAUGUACUAUCACUGAUACCAUAAAGGGAGUCCAUGUAUUUAGACAGCAGGUCGGUGCCCCUAAAAGCAGGUAUCCGCUAAAGAGUGUGUUAAAACUCACCUGCCGAAUACUAGGGCCCCGAAAAUGAAUGGCGCAUAUAGUACUACCGAUCUCAGACAUCAGUUCUAUUGAACUGAGAGUAGGGGGAUGUGGACAUUUUUGUGAAGGUGCAAUGUGAGUUGGACUGGAAGAAUGUCUAUUACAGAUCCUAAUUGAAGUAGCGAUUAUCCAGGGCUUGUAUCCUGGGGGGCUGAUGAGGAGUAGGGUUUCUGGACAACUUAAACAGAUCCAGAGUUAGUCGAUCCUAAUCUCAAUAAUGGGAGAAAGGGAGUAC